UACGUAGGGUGCAAGCGUUAUUCGGAAUUACUGGGCGUAAAGCGUGCGCAGGCGGUGUUGUAAGACAGUUGUGAAAUCCCCGGGCUCAACCUGGGAACUACAUCUGUGACUGCAUCGCUGGAGUGCGGCAGAGGGGGAUGGAAUUCCGCGUGUAGCAGUGAAAUGCGUAGAUAUGCGGAGGAACACCGAUGGCGAAGGCAAUCCCCUGGGCCUGCACUGACGCUCAUGCACGAAAGCGUGGGGAGCAAACAGG
rnacentral:rRNA from 1 species